UGGACAGCCCGGGAGACUGAAGUCUCCUAUUUAUCCAUUGAACAAGUACACAGCAGCAGCACACCCCUGGUCUACUAGCGUGCCUUAAACCCUUAUCCGUGGGAGCACCUUUCCGAGAUGAAAGGAGAGCACAGCCUUCCUGGCCAAUUUGCCAAGACUGCC
rnacentral:sRNA from 1 species